rnacentral:rRNA from 1 species
CGCGUAGGAAUCUGCCUAGUAGUGGGGGACAACAUGUGGAAACGCAUGCUAAUACCGCAUACGCCCUACGGGGAAAGGAGGGGAUCUUCGGACCUUUCGCUAUUAGAUGAGCCUGCGUAAGAUUAGCUAGUUGGUGGGGUAAAGGCUCACCAAGGCGACGAUCUUUAGCUGGUCUGAGAGGAUGAUCAGCCACACUGGGACUGAGACACGGCCCAGACUCCUACGGGAGGCAGCAGUGGGGAAUAUUGGACAAUGGGCGCAAGCCUGAUCCAGCCAUGCCGCGUGUGUGAAGAAGGCCUU